rnacentral:rRNA from 1 species
AGAGUUCGAUCAUGGCUCAGGACGAACGCUGGCGGCGUGCUUAACACAUGCAAGUCGAACGAAAAUACCAAGCUUGCUUGGUUGAUUAGUGGCGAACGGGUGAGUAACACGUGAGUAACCUGCCCCUUACUUUCCUGGAUAACUGCUCGAAAGGGUAGCUAAUACGGGAUAUUCUGACCAUCCUGCAUGGGUUGGUUUGGAAAGGUUGUUUUUCUGGUAAGGGAUGGGCUCGCGGCCUAUCAGCUUGUUGGUGGGGUGAUGGCCUACCAAGGCUUUGACGGGUAGCCGGCCUGAGAGGGUGGACGGUCACACUGGGACUGAGAUACGGCCCAG